rnacentral:tRNA from 1 species
GGGGGCGUAGCCCAACGGCAGAGGCAGCGGACUUAAAAUCCGCACAGUGUGGGUUCGAGUCCCACCGCCCCUA